GGAGAGAUGGCUGAGCGGACCAAAGCGGUGGAUUGCUAAUCCGUUGUACAGACUCUCUGUACCGAGGGUUCGAAUCCCUCUCUCUCCG
rnacentral:tRNA from 1 species